AAUCAACGCUGGCGGCGUGCCUCAGACAUGCAAGUCGAACGCUGCUGUUCGCCUUCGGGUGGACAGCGGAGUGGCGCACGGGUGAGUAACACGUAGGUAAUCUACCUUUGGGUGGGAAUAACAGCCGGAAACGGCUGCUAAUACCGCAUAAUGCAGCGGCAUCACAUGAUGACAGUUGUUAAAGCGAGGGAUCGUAAGACCUCGCGCCUGAAGAGGAGCCUGCGGCAGAUUAGGUAGUUGGUGAGGUAAUGGCUCACCAAGCCUGCGAUCUGUAACCGGCCUGAGAGGGCGGUCGGUCACACUGACACUGACAUACGGGUCAG
rnacentral:rRNA from 1 species